GCCCGCGCCCGCCUGCGCGCGCGCCCCAGCCCUGCUGUGGGCCUUGGGUCUCUGUUUCCUUUCACUCCUAUGUCCCCAGUUUUCCCCAUUUUUGUUUUCGUUCGUUCAGCCCCUUCUUUGCACCGCUUUUUGUUUCUGGAUUUCCUCCCUCGAUAGGGCGUGCACACAUAAGGAAACUUGGGAUCAAUCACAACGGAGUCGCCACCUACCUCGUUUAGAGGUUGUGAUGAAGGAGGAGCCAGCGCUUAAUGCAGCCUACUGUGUGCUGAAAUUCCGGAGGGCACCACCUUCUCUACGCUUCCCAACAAAUUAAGAUUUUUUGUUUUUUUAAACAAGGAUCCAGAGAGGUUACGCGGUUUUUUCAAGGUCACACAGCCAAUAAAGGGGAGAGCAGGGAUUCCGAACACAGAUUCCACUCGGGGAUCCACGCUUUUCCGGUACUGCCCGGCUCCCUUUCGUUGAGGGUCCCACAGUGCCGGGCCAGCAAUUUGGGUCUGGGAAAGCCCGCCCCUCAGAACUCGGGCCCUGGCUCUCCGAAUUUAACUCCUUCUAGCCCUGACCCUUGGGGAUCAGGAGGGACACCUCACCUGCCCUGCACAAUGUCUGUGAAGGCGUUUUCGUUGUGUUGGGGAGGAGACAUAAGUCUCGGUCAGCAAAAACUCCGCUUCUGACCGCUCCGGCGAGACCAAAGCCCAUGGCGCGGAAGCCAGUGAACUGAGAUUAGGGGGCGGCAGGGGACCUGGGACGCUCCUAGCUGUGGUUGCAGCCUCCACAGGGUCUCCCUGGAAUCAGACCCCACGCCCUGCUUGUGCUCAGAAGAAUCCAGGCUCAAGAUCUGAAAUAUGCGUUCAGCUGCCGCCCCCCUUCCUGUCCCCAAGCGAGAAGGUGGUGCUUCUAGAAGCAGCAGCCAGUUUACCGCUGGAAUCAGACCAUCUGGUGUUAGGAAUCCCGGUUUUGGUAC
ensembl:lncRNA